UACAGAGGGUGCAAGCGUUGUUCGGAAUUACUGGGCGUAAAGCGCGUGUAGGUGGCGAUGUAAGUCGGGUGUGAAAUCCCUCGGCUCAACCGAGGAAGUGCACUCGAUACUGUGUCGCUUGAGUGUUGGAGGGGAUGGCGGAAUUCCCGGUGUAGAGGUGAAAUUCGUAGAUAUCGGGAGGAACACCGGUGGCGAAGGCGGCGAUCUGGGUAGAUACUGACGCUGAGGUGCGAAAGCGUGGGGAGCAAACAGG
rnacentral:rRNA from 1 species